rnacentral:rRNA from 1 species
UGGGGAAUUUUGGACAAUGGGCGAAAGCCUGAUCCAGCAAUGCCGCGUGUGUGAAGAAGGCCUUCGGGUUGUAAAGCACUUUUGUCCGGAAAGAAAUCCUUGGCUCUAAUACAGUCGGGGGAUGACGGUACCGGAAGAAUAAGCACCGGCUAACUACGUGCCAGCAGCCGCGGUAAUACGUAGGGUGCAAGCGUUAAUCGGAAUUACUGGGCGUAAAGCGUGCGCAGGCGGUUUGCUAAGACCGAUGUGAAAUCCCCGGGCUCAACCUGGGAACUACAUUGGUGACUGGCAGGCUAGAGUAUGGCAGAGGGGGGUAGAAUUCCACGUGUAGCAGUGAAAUGCGUAGAGAUGUGGAGGAAUACCGAUGGCGAAGGCAGCCCCCUGGGCCAAUACUGACGCUCAUGCACGAAAGCGUGGGGAGCAAACAGGAUUAGAUACCCUGGUAGUCCACGCCCUAAACGAUGUCAACUAGUUGUUGGGGGAUUCAUUUUCCUUAGUAACGUAGCUAACGCGUGAAGUUGACCGCCUGGGGAGUACGGUCGCAAGAUUAAAACUCAAAUGAAUUGACGGGGUCAUAGCUG